UUAGGGUUUCUAUGAGUAGGUCACUUGGAGCUAGGGUUAUGGUUCCUAUGGGUAGGAUUCCUAUGG